rnacentral:tRNA from 1 species
GGGCCUAUGGUAUAGCGGCAACACAACUCCAUGGCAUGGAGUAGUCCCGGGUCCGAUUCCCGGUAGGUCCA